rnacentral:tRNA from 1 species
UGGCACAGUGGUUAAGCAUUUGGCUGCUAAUCAGAAGUUUGGUGGUUCAAACCCACC